rnacentral:lncRNA from 1 species
UUCAAAGCAUUCCUCAAAGGUUCCUUACGUGAUGAGCACAAUAAAGAUACAAUCAAGAAUCAUUAAGCACAAUGAGAACUAUAAGUGUUGACGAGGCAUUCGUUACUAUGAUGAGCAUGAAACUAGUGCCAAGAAUUCAUUCAACGCGAUCGUUUUCAAGCGACCUUCACUACUUGUGAUUAUAAGAUUGUAACUAUUAGGUGAAACUCCCUCAUAAUAUAGCAUCAUAUUCAUGCAUGAAAACUAAGCGUGCACUCUCAAUCAACAUACACAAAUAAGUUAUCAAUC